AAUUUAAAGGACAAAAAAUUUUGGUCUCACCGUCAAACAUACGCAACUAAUUUUGCCAUUUUCUAUUUGCUUCUUCUCUACGCUUCUCUGCUUCUGAAAUUUUCACUCUGCUACAGCCAAAUUCUCCUUUCUUUAGAAGCGCUUAACACUUCCGGCGGAGAUAGUCCGCAUCUAGCAUAAAGGAGCCCACGAUGCAGCUUCUGCUAUCUUUAUAGCUGGAGAAUAAGUGACUCAGGACUCAAGAAUGUGUAGAUGACAGGUCAUCUUAUAUAUUAUUGUGCAUCUAUGGUCUCUCGUGUCUGAAGGUAAUGCUUUUUGAAUUUUUUUUGCUGGAUUUUAUCUUAUAUGGAUUCCAACCCAGCAAGAAUCUGAACUGGAACUGGUCCAAAAAUUAUUCGUGUAGUAGUGGGCCUUGUUCAUGCUUCUCUUGUAUCACUGUCACCACAUGGGCACUGCUUAUCGAAUCUUAGUUACAAGAAACCUUGUUUUUGAUACUCAGCUUGUAAAAAAUGCAAAAUGACACUAAAAUUACAUUAGUUAAACACUUUGUAAUCCUUUAACAUAAACUUAGAUGGGGCAAGUCUUAUCCCAAACAAAAAGAGAAUACACAAAGAAUAUGUGAAGCUCCUUGCUUAAAUUAUUUUCUGUAGUUGCUGUGCUAGUGUAACGGAGCGAUUCACGAGCUGGAGUUUGUCAGUUUAGUAGAAUUUUGUCUUGGUGUCAUUCAUUCACUGGGAAGAUUAUUGUUUAGAUGGACUUAUAAAAAGUAGCUCAUAAGUCAAAAGCUAAAAGUCAUAAGUAGAUGAUACCCUACUUUUGACUUUUGGUUUAUUUUAAAACUCUUUUGGCCUAAAAGUAAGUGCUUAAAAGCAUACUUCCAAAACUUCUAAAAAUGCUUAUAAAUUAAAAGUACCUAAAAUUAAGUUAAUUCAAACGGCUC